rnacentral:rRNA from 1 species
UGAGCAAUCUGCCCAUCUCUUCGGAAUAAGCGUUGGAAACGACGUCUAAUGCCGAAUAUGACCUCCUUUCGCAUGAUCGGAGGUGGAAAGCUCCGGCGGAGAAGGAUGAGCUCGCGGCCUAUCAGCUAGUUGGUGUGGGUAAUGGCCCACCAAGGCGACGACGGGUAGCCGGCCUGAGAGGGUGACCGGCCACACUGGGACUGAGACACGGCCCAGACUCCGUAGGGAGG